GACAGAGGGUGCAAACGUUGUUCGGAAUUACUGGGCGUAAAGCGCGUGUAGGCGGCUCUGCAAGUCAGGUGUGAAAUCCCACGGCUCAACCAUGGAAGUGCACUUGAAACUGCAGGGCUAGAGUCCUGGAGAGGAAGGUGGAAUGCUUGGUGUAGAGGUGAAAUUCGUAGAUAUCAAGCGGAACACCGGUGGCGAAGGCGGCCUUCUGGACAGUGACUGACGGCUGAGACG
rnacentral:rRNA from 1 species